rnacentral:rRNA from 1 species
UGGCGGUGUGCUUAACACAUGCAAGUGGUGCGACGAACCAGGCUUCGGCCUGGGGCAAAGCCGCGAACGGGUGAGUAACACGUGGGUAAUCUGCCCCGAUGACCGGGACAACCCGACGAAAGUCGGGCUAAUACCGGAUGUGGUGCCUGGACAUAAGUCCGGUCACUAAAGGUAGCUUCGGCUUCCGCAUUGGGAGGGGGCCGCGGCCCAUUAGCUUGUUGGUGGGGUCAAGGCCUACCAAGGCAACGAUGGGUAGCUGGUCUGAGAGGACGAUCAGGCACACUGGGACUGAGACACGGGCCAGACUCCUACGGGAGGNAGCAGUGGGGAAUCUUGCGCAAUGCGCGAAAGCGUGACGCAGCAACACCGCGUNAGGGAAGACGGGCUUAGGGUUGUAAACCUC